UACGGGGGGGGCAAGCGUUGUUCGGAAUUACUGGGCGUAAAGGGUUCGUAGGUGGCCCGCUAAGUCACACGUGAAAUCCCUCAGCUUAACUGGGGAACUGCGUGUGAGACUGGCACGCUAGAGUUCGGGAGAGGAUGGUGGAAUUCCCAGUGUAGAGGUGAAAUUCGUAGAUAUUGGGAAGAACACCGAUGGCGAAGGCAGCCAUCGUGGACCGACACUGACGCUGAGGCGCGAAAGCG
rnacentral:rRNA from 1 species